rnacentral:rRNA from 1 species
CCUACGGGUGGCAGCAGUGGGGAAUAUUGGGCAAUGGGCGCAAGCCUGACCCAGCAACGCCGCGUGAAGGAAGAAGGCUUUCGGGUUGUAAACUUCUUUUGACAGGGAAGAGUAGAAGACGGUACCUGUCGAAUAAGCCACGGCUAACUACGUGCCAGCAGCCGCGGUAAUACGUAGGUGGCAAGCGUUGUCCGGAUUUACUGGGUGUAAAGGGCGUGUAGCCGGGUUGACAAGUCAGAUGUGAAAUCCUGCGGCUUAACCGCAGAACUGCAUUUGAAACUGUUGAUCUUGAGUACUGGAGAGGCAGACGGAAUUCCUAGUGUAGCGGUGAAAUGCGUAGAUAUUAGGAGGAACACCAGUGGCGAAGGCAGCUUACCAAGCUACUUCUGACGUUGAGGCACGAAAGCGUGGGGAGCAAACAGGAUUAGAUACCCGUGUAGUC